GGGAUAACAGUUGGAAACGGCUGCUAAUACCGCAUAAGCGCACAGUACCGCAUGGUACAGUGUGAAAAACUCCGGUGGUGUGAGAUGGACCCGCGUCUGAUUAGCUAGUUGGCAGGGCAACGGCCUACCAAGGCGACGAUCAGUAGCCGACCUGAGAGGGUGACCGGCCACAUUGGGACUGAGACACGGCCCAAACUCCUACGGGAGGCAGCAGUGGGGAAUAUUGCACAAUGGGGGAAACCCUGAUGCAGCGACGCCGCGUGAGCGAAGAAGUAUUUCGGUAUGUAAAGCUCUAUCAGCAGGGAAGAAGAAAUGACGGUACCUGACUAAGAAGCACCGGCUAAAUACGUGCCAGCAGCCGCGGUAAUACGUAUGGUGCAAGCGUUAUCCGGAUUUACUGGGUGUAAAGGGAGCGCAGGCGGAAGGCUAAGUCUGAUGUGAAAGCCCGGGGCUCAACCCCGGUACUGCAUUGGAAACUGGUCAUCUAGAGUGUCGGAGGGGUAAGUGGAAUUCCUAGUGUAGCGGUGAAAUGCGUAGAUAUUAGGAGGAACACCAGUGGCGAAGGCGGCUUACUGGACGAUAACUGACGCUGAGGCUCGAAAGCGUGGGGAGCAAACAGGAUUAGAUACCCUGGUAGUCCACGCCGUAAACGA
rnacentral:rRNA from 1 species